UACGAAGGGGGCUAGCGUUGUUCGGAAUCACUGGGCGUAAAGGGCGCGUAGGCGGCUUUAUAAGUCGGGGGUGAAAGCCUGUGGCUCAACCACAGAAUUGCCUUCGAUACUGUAGAGCUUGAGACCGGAAGAGGUAAGUGGAACUGCGAGUGUAGAGGUGAAAUUCGUAGAUAUUCGCAAGAACACCAGUGGCGAAGGCGGCUUACUGGUCCGGUACUGACGCUGAGGCGCGAAAGCGUGGGGAGCAAACAGG
rnacentral:rRNA from 1 species